GCCUAAAACCCAGCCCUAACCACCCGCAUGAAACUCAACUACAUUAAUUCACAAACUAAAACAUUUUUUACACUUAGUAAAGGCGAUUAAAAAGUGUCUAGGAGCCUUAAAAAUAGUACCGCAAGGGAAAGGUGAAAUAAAAGUGAAAUAAUUUUAAAGCAAUAUAAAGCAGAGACUAAACCUCGUACCUUUUGCAUCAUGGUCUAGCUAGUCUAAUCAAGCAAAAAGCAUUUUAAGUUUGACCCCCCGAAACUAAGCGAGCUACUUCGAAACAGCCUCAUGGGCCAACCCGUCUCUGUUGCAAAAGAGUGGGAAGAUUUCCAAGUAGAGAUGACAGAUCUACCGAGCUUAGAGAUAGCUGGUUAUUCAGGACAAGGAUCUUAGUCCUACCUUAAGUCACCCAAUAACCACCAAUAUACAAACUGAUUUAAGAGCUAUUCAAAUAAGGUACAGCCUAUUUGAAAAAGGAUACAACCUAAACUACCGGGUAAUGAAAUACAUUUGCGACCAAGUGGGCCUAAGAGCAGCCAUCUUUUAAAAAGCGUUAAAGCUUAAUCGCUAUGUCUAACAAUUCCAAUAACACAACAAAACCCUCACCCAGUACUGAAUGAUUCCAUACUGAUAUGGAAAACCAUAUGCUAGAACUAGUAACAAGAAGAAGAACUUCUCUAAAAUGCAAGUGUAAACCGAAAUGAACAAUUCACCGGUAUUUACCGCCAAUGAACACGCAGUAGCAACACACACAAGAAAAUCCUACUCACCUGGACGUUAACCUUACACUAGAGCAUUUCUAGAAAGAUAAAAAAUGGGAA
rnacentral:rRNA from 1 species